GCCCUUCACUACGGAAUAGCCUCUGGAAACGGAGAGUAAUACCGUAUGCGCCCUUCGGGGAAAGAUUUAUCGGUGAAGGAUUAGCCCGCGUCUGAUUAGAUAGUUGGUGGGGUAACGGCCUACCAAGUCGACGAUCAGUAGCUGGUUUGAGAGGAUGAUCAGCAACACUGGGACUGAGACACGGCCCAGACUCCUACGGGAGGCAGCAGUGGGGAAUCUUAGACAAUGGGCGCAAGUGAUCUAGCCAUGCCGCGUGAGUGACGAAGGCCUUAGGGUCGUAAAGCUCUUUCGCCAGGGAUGAUAAUGACAGUACCUGGUAAAGAAACCCCGGCUAACUCCGUGCCAGCAGCCGCGGUAAUACGGAGGGGGUUAGCGUUGUUCGGAAUUACUGGGCGUAAAGCGCGCGUAGGGGAUUGGAAAGUUGGGGGUGAAAUCCCGGGGCUCAACCCCGAACUGCCUCCAAAACUAUCAGUCUAGAGUUCGAGAGAGGUGAGUGGAAUUCCAAGUGUAGAGGUGAAAUUCGUAGAUAUUUGGAGGAACACCAGUGGCGAAGGGGCUCACUGGCUCGAUACUGACGCUGAGGUGCGAAAGUGUGGGGAGCAAACAGGAUUAGAUACCCUGGUAGUCCACACCGUAAACGAUGAAUGCCAGACGUCGGGGGGCUUGCCUUCGGUGUCACACCUAACGGAUUAAGCAUUCCGCCUGGGGAGU
rnacentral:rRNA from 1 species